AUGAACGCCCGCGGCAGAACUAAUACAUGUGAGCCGAGGGGCAGCCGGUUCCCUCCGGGGAACGCCCGGCGACCGGCGAAACGGGAGAGUCACACGUCAGGAAUUCACCUCUAACCGGGGAAAAGCUCUGAGAAAAUCGAGGAGUAAGGCCCCAUACCAUCUUGAAAAGGGCAUCUUUUCUGGAGAAAGCUCCGGCGGUUAAGGGAGGCCAUGCGCCUCCAUUAGCCUCGUUGGUGAGAUAACCGCUCACCAAGGCCGCGAUGGAUAGCUGAUUCUGAGAGGAAGAUCAGCCACAUUCGGCACUGAGACACGGGCCAAACUCCUACGGGAGGCAGCAGUAGGGAAUCUUGGUCAAUUCGGCGAAAGCCAGAACCAGUCAUGCCGCGUGCAGGAUGAAGGCCCUACGGGUCGUAAACUGCUUUUAUUCGGGAAGAAAAAGUCUGUUUCCACAGACCUUGACGGUACCGAUUGAGUAAGGACCGGCCAACUCCGUGCCAGCAGCCGCGGUAAUACGGAGGGUCCAAGCGUUAUCCGGAUUCACUGGGUUUAAAGGGUGCGCAGGCGGCCAAGUAAGUCAGUGGUGAAAGCCUUCGGCUCAACCGGAGAAUUGCCAUUGAAACUACUUGGCUUGAGUGCAGUAGAGGUAGGCGGAAUGUAGCAUGUAGCGGUGAAAUGCAUAGAUAUGCUACAGAACACCGAUAGCGAAAGCAGCUUACCACACUGUAACUGACGCUGAGGCACGAAAGCAUGGGUAGCAAACAGGAUUAGAUACCCUGGUAGUCCAUGCCGUAAACUUUGAACACUCGGAGUUUGCCACCUAGUGGUAAGCUCCCUAGCGAAAGCGUUAAGUGUUCCACCUGGGGAGUACGGCCGCAAGGCUAAAAACUCAAAGGAAUUGACGGGGGCCCGCACAAGCGGUGGAGCAUGUUGUUUAAUUCGAUGCAACGCGAAGAACCUUACCACCCCUUGACUUCCUGGUCGCGAUUGGCAGAGAUGCCUUUCUUCAGUUCGGCUGGACCAGUGACAGGUGCUGCAUGGCUGUCGUCAGCUCGUGUCGUGAGAUGUUGGGUUAAGUCCCGUAACGAGCGCAACCCUUAUCGUCUGUUGCUACCAGGUAAUGCUGGGCACUCUGGCGAGACUGCCGGUGACAAGCCGGAGGAAGGCGGGGACGACGUCAAGUCAUCAUGGCCCUUACGGGGUGGGCUACAAACGUGCUACAAUGGCCGUGACAAUGGGCAGCCAGCUUGCAAGAGUUAGCGAAUCCCAAAAAACGGUCUCAGUUCAGAUUGUCCUCUGCAAACUCGAGGGCAUGAAGUCGGAAUCGCUAGUAAUCGUGGAAUCAGAAUGCCACGGUGAAUACGUUCCCGGGCCUUGUACACACCGCCCGUCACACCAUGGGAGUUGGCUUUACCCGAAGGUCGUGUGCUAACAUUUGAGGCAGCGAACCACGGUAAGGUCAGCAACUGGGGUA
rnacentral:rRNA from 1 species